AUCUAAAUAGUUUAAUUUAAAAAAUAUUGAUUUGUGGUGUCAAAGUUAUAGGCUUAUUUUAGAUU
rnacentral:tRNA from 1 species